rnacentral:rRNA from 1 species
GAUGAACGCUGGCGGCGUGCCUAAUACAUGCAAGUCGAGCGAACAGACGAGGAGCUUGCUCCUCUGACGUUAGCGGCGGACGGGUGAGUAACACGUGGAUAACCUACCUAUAAGACUGGGAUAACUUCGGGAAACCGGAGCUAAUACCGGAUAAUAUAUUGAACCGCAUGGUUCAAUAGUGAAAGACGGUUUUGCUGUCACUUAUAGAUGGAUCCGCGCCGCAUUAGCUAGUUGGUAAGGUAACGGCUUACCAAGGCAACGAUGCGUAGCCGACCUGAGAGGGGGGUCGCCCACACUGGAACUGAGACACGGUCAAGACUCCUGCGGGAGGCAGCAGUAGGGAAUCGUCCGCAAUGGGCGAAAGCCUGACGGAGCAACGCCGCGUGAGUGAUGAAGGCCUUCGGAUCGUAAAGCUCUGUUAUUAGUGAUGAACAAAUGUGUAAGUAACUAUGCACGUCUUGACGGUACCUAAUCAGAAAGCCCCGGCUAACUACGUG